AUCACUCUUUAGUCAGAUGUAUAAUUUAUCCUAUUAUUAAUCACAAAAAUAAUGUUUCACCAAAUAUUGUGUCACAAAAUGUUUGGCAGAAGUUUGCAAAUGUUUGCCACUCUUGGUGAAUCUGGGACAAACAAUAACAUUUAGAAGCCGUUUCUGGUGAACACAUGAAUUCCAAGACCGGUAACCGCUGAUGACCAAUCAGGGGAAUUAGAAAUCUGUUGGAAAAAAGAAACCAACCUAUCUAGCUUGCUACAGUAUCUACCAAAGUUGUCCGAUGCACAAUUGAGAGCAUCCUGUCGGGCUGUAUCACCGUCUGGUACGGCAACUGCACCGCCCGCAACCGCAGGGCUCUCCAGAGGGUGGUGCAUUCUGAUCAACACAUACACGGGGGCAAGCUACCUGCCCUCCAGGACACAGACAGCACCCGGUGUCACAGGAAGGCCAAAAAGAUCAUCAAGGAUAACAACCCCCCCAAGCCACUGACUGCUCACCCCGCUAUCAUCCAGAAGGCAAGGUGAAUACGUUACUGGACAAUUCUGCUGAAAAUGGUGAAGCAUGAUUCAUCAGUCCAGAAAAUGUGUUUCCACUGCUCCAGAGUCCAAUGGCGGUGAGCUUUACACCACUCCAGCCGAUGCUUGGCAUUGCACAUGGUGAUCUUAGGCUUGUGUGCAGCUGCUCGGCCAUGACAAACCCAUUUCUUGAAGUUCCCGACAAACAGUUAUUGUGCUGACAUUGCUUCCAGAGGCAGUUUGAAACUCGGUAGUAAGUGUUGCAACCGAGGACAGACGAUUUUUGCACGCUAUGCGCUUCAGCACUCGGCAGUCCCGUUCUGUGAGCUUGUGUGGCCUAGCAAUUUGGGUCUGAGCCGUUGUUGCUCCUAGAUGUUUCCAUUUCACAAUAACAAAUACAACACAGUUGACCGGGGCAGCUCAAGCUGGACAGAAAUGUGAUGAACUGACAUGUUGGAAAGGUUGCAUCCUAUGACGGUGCCACAUUGAAAGUCUCUGAGCUCUUCGGUAUGGGCCAUUCCACUGCCAAUGUUUGUCUAUAGAGACUGCAUGGCGGUGUGCUCAAUUUUAUACCCAUCAGCAACGGUGUGGCUGAAAUAGCCGAAUCCACUAAUUUGAAGGGGUCCACAUACUUUAGUAUAUAUAGUGUAUCACUCUCUCUAGAACAUUAAUUCCACCUCAAGUGAAACCCUUUGUGGGCUUGGUGUGAGCUAUUUGUUAUUUUAUCUGAUCCAGGCAUGCACUUCCCUUUCACACUCACACUGUGGCUUCAUCCCAAAUGGCAACCUAUCCUUUAGUGCACUACUUUUGACCAGGGCCUAUAAUGCUAUGGUUAAAAGUAGUGCACUAUAUAGGGAAGAGCGUGCCAUUUGGAAUGUUACCUAUAUGUGGGAGAGGGUGAAAUUCAAAGGGACUUGCCUGAGAUCUAUUAGUAAAUAAACUGAUGAUGCUACAGCAGGUAUGCAGCUAAGUGUUAUCUGCAUCUAUUCUUACAGACAUAUUUGGUCAUCAAAUGUCAUAGUGUUAGUCAUAGCUGGGGUCAGGGAAUAUCUGGUUCUGAAUACCCUCGGUCCUGAAAUCUAUUUGUAAAUAAAUUAAUGAGCCUACCCCUCUCCUCUCUUCUCUUCUCCUCCUCUUCUGAUGAUUCUGCUGCAGGCCCUAUGUAUAUUCUGGAUCUCAGCCAUACAUGGUUAUCAGUGUUAGUAAUAACUGAGGUCAGGGAAUACCUGGUUGUCAACCACCCCGAACCUAUCCCCAGUCCUGCCCACCCACUGUUACUAUGAUACCAAUGAGACUACGCUAUGGAAGCAACAUGCUUCCUGAUCAUAAGCAAAUGGAGCUCUGAUAAUAUCUAAGAAGUGUUCAUACACAAAACUACCUAUGAUGACAGACCGAUACUGUCGUUAUGUAACAGAAGCAUUUGAACAUGCUGAAUGGAUGCCCCCCUAUGUAGUGGGUGAAGGCAGAGUUGUAAUUGAAAUAUUAUGCAAACUUUAUCAUAGCAAUUUGCAAUUUAAUGUUUUCAAGAGUACGAACUAGUACAGUAUCUACAUGAGUUUGUGUGUAUGAGCUGACUGACUGCUCUGUGAUGAUUUUUGGACAGAUUAUUAUUCAUCCAAAACAUGAUCACAGAGAAAAAGAGGUACAAAUGAAAACUUCCCCCCUCCUCCCACUCCCCCUAUACUCACUCAUAGAAAGAGAUACACCAACUGUUUUAU